rnacentral:rRNA from 1 species
GACACGCUGGCGGCGUGCUUAACACAUGCAAGUCAGGGAAAAAGGGUAGCAAUAUCCUGAGUACACCGGCGCACGGGUGAGUAACACGUAGGCAAUCUGCCUUUAGGACGGGAACAACCACGCGAAAGCGUGGCUAAUACCCCGAUAAUGCAGCGGCACCGCAUGGUGAUGUUGUUAAAGGCCCGCAAGGGCGCCUAUUGGAUGAGCCUGCGUCCCAUUUAGGUAGUUGGCGGGGUAACAGCCCACCAAGCCGACGAUGGGUAGCUGGUCUGAGAGGAUGAUCAGCCACACUGGAACUGAGACACGGUCCAGACUCCUACGGGAGGCAGCAGUGAGGAAUAUUGCGCAAUGGCCGAAAGGCUGACGCAGCGACGCCGCGUGAAGGAUGAAGUCCGUUAGGAUGUAAACUUCUUUUGUGAGGGAUGAAUGUCCCCGUUUACGGGGCUUGACCGUACCUCACGAAUAAGGGUCGGCUAACUACGUG